rnacentral:misc_RNA from 1 species
GAUGAAGAACGCAGCGAAAUGCGAUAAGUAAUGUGAAUUGCAGAACUCAGUGAAUCAUCGAAUCUUUGAACGCACAUUGCGCCCGCCAGCAUUCUGGCGGGCAUGCCUGUUCGAGCGUCAUUUCAACCCUCGCAGCCCAUCUGGGCAGCGGUGUUGGGGACCGGCACCACCGGCGAAGCCCUUAGGGGCCCAGCCGGCGCCGCCCCCGAAAUACAGUGGCGGUCUCGCUGCAGCCUCCCUUGCGUAGUAGCACACCUCGCACCGGAGCGCAGCGCGGCCACGCCGUAAAACCCCCGACUUUCUGAGUUUGACCUCGAAUCAGGUAGGAAUACCCGCUGAACUUAAGCAUAUCAAUAAGCGGAGGA